rnacentral:tRNA from 1 species
UGGGGAGUGGCCAAGCGGUAAGGCAACGGCCUUUGAAGCCGUUAUUCGCAGGUUCGAAUCCUGCCUCCCCAGCCA